UUGACGGAUGCGGAACUGCGGUUGAUGCAGUGUUUAAUACAGCAGUAACGUUUUAAUUUGUCAGCAGGAAGAGGAUAUUACAACAUGUGCAUUAUCAUUUCUCAUGAACAAGUCUGGGUUGAUUUUAGCGUUAGAUGAUUUAAGUCGGUACGAUAUGCUUGUAACAGGCUCCCUAGAACCACUCGAAAUAUAUAUAUAGAAGUUCAUACAACGCUUGGUAAUGCUAUUUAAAAGCUGUCUAAUAAUAUUUUAAAAGAUAAGUAAAUAAAGCUAAAAGAUUUAAGCAAGUUUACAAGAUGACUGAAAGAACUGAAGAUGUUACAAACACUACAAAGCUUUCACAUUGAAUAUCAUGUGUUUUCGGUGAAUGAACAAGGAACAUGGGCACUAGGAAUCAAGAAAAAUAUCAAAAACAAAAUUUUUAGAACCUGCGCCAUGCAGUACUCUUCUUCGCAUUUAACAAAUCCAGCAACGAAUUAUUUUAUUUAUCUAUUUAUUAAACAAGCAAAUUACUAAAAAUAAAUGAGUUAAAUGACUUUGCUUAAUUAAUAUAUAUAUUUUUUUUACAGAUUAACAAUGGCUGAUGUUGUCCCGAUUUCCUUUACGCGACGAUUGAGCGUGAGCGCGGACGAUGUUUCAUCUAAAGGGAAAGUUGGUCCCUCUCUCCCAAAUGUUGACAGUGGAAUAAAUCUACAUUCACAAAAUGGCAGUUACACCUCGCUGGACACUAUGUCACGUGUUUCAAGCUCCGUAAGUCUCGACCAACAGGUCCCAGAUUGUGACGGGAUGUUUCACUGCUCCCCUGCUGAUGAUGGGUACUCCACCGUUGAUGACGACGCCGCCAGUAUGACGUCAGGGAGUGACAGCGAAAGCGGCAUUGACAGCACUCCACAAAGUGCGGUAAACACACUCCAAAAACACUCCAAAAAUAAACAGCCAGCCUCAAAGAAAAAUGUGGAUUUCUCUAAUCCCAAAGAUGAACUGAUGAGGAAGUUGAAAGAGCAAUACAAAGCCGACUCCCCUAAUGCCACCAGGGCCGAGCUUCAAGUGGAGCAGAACCAGAUGCAUGCUGGCGUCCAUCUAUCCACAAAAACUCUAUCCUUAAAAGGAGAAGGUCUAUCAGAAGAAAGCAAAGAUAGCAUCACCUCCGUAUUUUCAGAAGAAAAUGAGAAAAACGCAAGAACCUACAUCACGACAGGCGGUAAUGAACUACCUCCACAAGGAGACCUCCCUGAAGGAAAAUCACCACUUCAAGGGGCAAUUGACACAGGGAUUACUCAUAAACCAAUAAAGACAGGGAAACAGAGGUUCAGGUGGAACCUUAUAUUUAACCUUCUCUUCUGGAUCAUCGUCCCAAUGCCUGUGUGGGUGCCGUUUGUGUCACAGACCGUCGCCUGGUACUUAAUUCCUGCUGUCCAGGCUGUAUUUGUCUUCAUGUGGGUAGUAGUGGUUACCUUGGCCUGCAAGAACAUGAUUGUCCUUUACUUGAACAAAAAUAAAGAUUUCCGAGAAGACUACCCCGACUACACUGACAUCCGCCACCUGGUGGCCAUCAGCUGUUACAAGGAACCAGUAGAACUGAUUGCAAGAAGCGUUCAAACUUUAGCAGACCAGACCGAAGUCGGGCGCAUCUCCAUGGUGAUUUCUUUUGAAGAAAAGACACCGGAAGUGCAAACAAAAUGCGAUAAACUCCGUGAGAUUUUUAAGGAUGCUGGUUUCGAGCGUCUAAUCUUCACCAUACACCCCUUUGGUCUUCCAAAUGAGAUCCCUGGAAAGUGCUCCAAUGCCAAUCACGGCCUCCGCCAGGCGACGCAGGUAAUGCAAGAGGAGCUUGGGGCAUACUUCGAUGCUGAAAAGAUUAUCGUGACCACUUGUGAUGCCGACUCAUACUUCCACCCUAGCUACAUCGCAGCUCUGACUUCCAAGUUCAUGAAAGAGAAGACCCCUCAUGGAGUCGUAUUCCAGGCACCUUUGUUUUACAACUGGGGAUUGGAUGGAAGCAGCUUUGUCACCCGUGUCACCGGUCUUCUCCGUACCACUCUAAUGAUGGGGGCUCUCAUCCCAUUCAACAUCAAUUCCAUGAGCAUUUUCUCCUUUUCCUUGCGGCUGUGUAUUGAUGGAAACUUUGUUCACCCCGCCUACCAGAUGGACGACAUCAUUUGCCUGAUCCGAUGGAUGGGCGUUACUCGUCGCCGCAUCCGUACUCCGAUGAUCCCGGUCCCCGUCAUCAGCGGACCGACAUCCGGUGAGACCGUGGAGUUGGAAGUGGCUGAGUGGGCGCGUCAAGCCAGAAGAUGGACCAUUGGUGCCGCUGAAGUCUUCCACUACUACGUUAUUAAAGCUGGUCGCAUGCCUUUCUGGCCUGCCUUCUCCUGGGGUCUUUGUUUCCUUUCAUACUACGGCAUCCUACUCUGCUCGGGAGGUUUGUACGGUAUAUCUGCCGGUUUGUCUAUGGCUUUCCUGGUGAAAGACGCACCGUUCUACAUUAACUACGCGAUGUACGGUUUAGCAGGGCUCCAGCAACUCGCCUUUUUUGGGGUUUUCAUGAUGGACGUUUUCGGACCAAGAUUGAUGAAGGUCAAAGAGCAUAUUAGUUUCGUUCGUAACUUUCUUCAUUUUCUCCUCACCCCGCUGGUGCUACUAGGGUACUCCUUGGUGGAGUUCUACGCCCUGCACGAAGUUGCUAUCAGAGGAAAAGAAGUCUGCAAACAUGGCGCCUCGAAGAAGAGUGCGCUGGGAAAUGUUUAAGUGAUAUUUUUGUACAGACCUCAAAAGGUCUUCGUAAAAAAUAAAAAAAAAACGGCUAGGUAUUCCUACUUCGGGGGAACCACGCUUGCAAGGUUCACGCGUAGGGAAUUCGCACACCAGAUGUCGGUACUCACUUGCUGUUCUCAACUGUCACAGUUCCGGUACGUCAAAACUGUUUCGUUAAUACCACGUACUGAAUUCUAUCUAACAAAGGCCAGCUCGUUGAUAACUGCAUUUUUAGCAAACAUUCUCCUUACAGUUGAGAAAUGUAAACAUAAUAACCAAAGAAAUAUCUUUAAAUACCAAACGAGAAUAAGAAUUCAUGUGACCCUGCUAGUGAGCAAUCAUCUUAUAAGUUUAAGCUUUUAAAGUGAUAUUUUAUCAAUAAUGAUGCUGUCUCGUAUCUAUUUGAAAAAUCCUCGUAUUGCAUAUAACAGGACUUCAAUAAUGUUUCUUUGAUGCCAAGAGUGGUUUCAGUGGAAUGGACCCUGGUUAUCGUCAAUUUGUGAGGUCAGAGUGAAAGCUUUAUACUGAAUAGACGUAAAAUCGUAGUGCUAUAUAUAGGUAAUGGUAGAUGAUGUAUUUAUUCAGCUUAAUGUUGUUGAAGCAGUAUUUUAGUGUCGCAUGUUUUAUUUAAAACUUUGGACUUCUUGUCUCUUGUGUUUUGUAAGACAUUGUUCUGAACAGUUCAACUAAGACUUACUGUCUCUUUUGAUGUAUAUUUUAAUGUAUUCAAAUACAAAUGUACAUGUUUAUUUUUUCAUAAAAUUACUUUAAGCUUUUAAAAUAGACAUCUCUUUAACUGUAAAUUGGAAUGUCAUUGUUAAUUAUCUCCAGUUCAUUGUCUCGUAUUUAAUUAUUUAUUAGAAACUCAUUCUGUGCAAUAUAUUCAAGAAGUAUGUUGUAGUAGUUUUCAUAUAAAAUGCAUUCCAUCUCAUUAUGUGAGGGAUAUUACGGUGUACUAAAAUGAAUUAAGGUUUACUCCAAGUGAAAAAUAUCUCUAUAAAAAGAAUUGUUUUCUGUUAUCGUAUUGUUAAAGCUUUAUAUUAUAAUAUCGUUUUUACAUUUAGGCUUCUGGUAAGCGACUGGUUGUUUGGUGCCUGGCUUGCUUGUCAUAGUUGUUUUAACGAUAGAUUUGUUGUAUCAUUAUUGUACAUAUGCAUAUGUUAAUU